GCCGAAAUAGCUCAAUUGGUAGAGCAACUGACUUGUAAUCAGUAGGUUACGGGUUCAAGUCCUGUUUUCGGCACCA
rnacentral:tRNA from 2 species